rnacentral:rRNA from 1 species
GUAGGUGGCAAGCGUUGUCCGGAAUUAUUGGGCGUAAAGCGCGCGCAGGCGGUCCUUUAAGUCUGAUGUGAAAGCCCACGGCUCAACCGUGGAGGGUCAUUGGAAACUGGGGGACUUGAGUACAGAAGAGGAAAGCGGAAUUCCACGUGUAGCGGUGAAAUGCGUAGAGAUGUGGAGGAACACCAGUGGCGAAGGCGGCUUUCUGGUCUGUAACUGACGCUGAGGCGCGAAAGCGUGGGGAGCAAACAGGAUUAGAUACCCUGGUAGUCCACGCCGUAAACGAUGAGUGCUAAGUGUUAGGGGGUUUCCGCCCCUUAGUGCUGCAGCUAACGCAUUAAGCACUCCGCCUGGGGAGUACGGCCGCAAGGCUG